rnacentral:rRNA from 1 species
UCUUCCGCAAUGGACGAAAGUCUGACGGAGCAACGCCGCGUGAGUGAAGAAGGUUUUCGGAUCGUAAAACUCUGUUGUUAAAGAAGAACAAGGAUGAGAGUAACUGCUCAUCCCCUGACGGUAUUUAACCAGAAAGCCACGGCUAACUACGUGCCAGCAGCCGCGGUAAUACGUAGGUGGCAAGCGUUGUCCGGAUUUAUUGGGCGUAAAGCGAGCGCAGGCGGUUCUUUAAGUCUGAUGUGAAAGCCCCCGGCUCAACCGGGGAGGGUCAUUGGAAACUGGAGAACUUGAGUGCAGAAGAGGAGAGUGGAACUCCACGUGUAGCGGUGAAAUGCGUAGAUAUGUGGAGGAACACCAGUGGCGAAGGCGACUCUCUGGUCUGUAACUGACGCUGAGGCUCGAAAGCGUGGGGAGCAAACAGG